UUAAGUUCAGCGGGUAUUCCUACCUGAUCCGAGGUCAACAUUCAGAAAAAAGUUGGGGGGUUUAACGGCUUGGCCGCGCCGCGUUCCAGUUGCGAGGUGUUAGCUACUACGCAAUGGAGGCUACAGCGAGACCGCCACUAGAUUUAGGGGACGGCGCAGCCGCUAGGGCUCCUCCGAUCCCCAACACCAAACCCGAGGGC
rnacentral:misc_RNA from 1 species